AGGACUGUAAAUUCACAUUUGUUGCUUCGCCUGCUUUUGCCCACCACUGGCAAGUGGCCCCAGAAGACUUCCUAGAAGUAAUGCAGAAAGGACCUGCCGAAGGAAGAGACUGGCCAAGGCAGGAAGAUUCAAACUGAAGGCAUCAUUCAGAUCCAGUCAAGCAGGUCUAGUCAAAAUCUCUGCAAGCAGGUUGGACGUGCAAUUGUCCCCAUGCGCCACAACAGAUACAAAUGAGAACUCCUCCAACACCAGACCAACUCUUAAAUGACUAUCCUUCUCAGAAGCUAUUGGGUCUAUAUCUGGAGUUGAUGACAACUGGAGUCCAUCUCCCAUCAGCCCCAACCAGAGUGGCCAGUGGUCAAGAAUGAUGGCAAUGGGAGAUGAACAACAUCUGGUAGGCCAUCGGUUCUCCACACUGCCCUACAACCCAGUUAGCUUACCUGUGCAGUGCUUCUGUAAGCGCAGGAUCUCCAAGUGCAAAUCACGGAGGAGUUCCAUCUGCUCCUUCUUCAGGAAGGCAAUGUGUCUUUGCACGCUUUGGAUCUGGUGCUCCAGGGACAGGGUCUCCAUCGCAACACAGUCAACAGUCUGUGCCUAGAGGGAACAGAAGUGGAUCGAUGAGCUGCCUGCACUGCCAUAGGGACUUGGGGAAAGAGCGGCACUUCUGCCACUCGCUCUUUGCAUCCUAACCUUUUGCCAAAAAAAAAAAAAAUCCACAUCAUCCCACCAUCUCAAACUGGAGCCCAUUGGCUGCUGUGAUGAAAGACC